rnacentral:rRNA from 1 species
GGUGAACGCUGGCGGCGUGCCUAAUACAUGCAAGUCGAGCGAACAGACGAGAAGCUUGCUUCUCUGAUGUUAGCGGCGGACGGGUGAGUAACACGUGGAUAACCUACCUAUAAGACUGGGAUAACUUCGGGAAACCGUAGCUAAUACCGGAUAAUAUUUUGAACCGCAUGGUUCAAAAGUGAAAGACGGUCUUGCUGUCACUUAUAGAUGGAUCCGCGCUGCAUUAGCUAGUUGGUAAGGUAACGGCUUACCAAGGCAACGAUGCAUAGCCGACCUGAGAGGGUGAUCGGCCACACUGGAACUGAGACACGGUCCAGACUCCUACGGGAGGCAGCAGUAGGGAAUCUUCCGCAAUGGGCGAAAGCCUGACGGAGCAACGCCGCGUGAGUGAUGAAGGUCUUCGGAUCGUAAAACUCUGUUAUUAGGGAAGAACAUAUGUGUAAGUAACUGUGCACAUCUUGACGGUACCUAAUCAGAAAGCCACGGCUAACUACGUG